CAGAAAUCUCCUUCUCACAACAGCGGUCUUUAGGAAAGAGGGCCAUAUCACACUCAACCUCAGCAAUGACUCUUCUUCUUCUAAUCGUUCUUGCUCUUGGUGAUCUGCCAGUUUGUACAAAGAUUUUUGGAUGGUUCAACAAAUUGUAGCUGGUGUUCUGCUACCUGCACAAUUCUGCGUACAGUUGGAGGUUCGGGACUGGAUAAAUCACUCUUUUUAAUGGAUCCCACAAAGUUGGAUUUAUCGUAACUGCCUAUUUUUUAUCAGAAUCUCUUCAAAGUGUGGAGUUUUUUUUGUGUCCGUCAGACUGAGAAUUUUUUCUCUCUUCACUGGUUAUUACUGGAGCCAUUGAUUCUCGGGGCCCGUUUGGACAUUACUGCACGAAGUAACCUACAAGGAUUUAGCACCUCUCUUCGGCAAUCCAGGAUUUUCACUUUGGGACACUUAUUGACUAUAACUUGGGCCUCACUUUGAACAGGUGGAGGCAACUUCCAAGCGGUUGGGUAUUAGAUCUAUCCGCUUGCUCGCACAGUUUUUAACAAAGUUAAGACUCUGUUUUACAGUUGAAGAAGACCAGAUGUUGAAGGAUUUUUUUGCAGGGAUUAGUGUUCCUGAUCCGGAGGAUCCCUUUCCCUGUUUAUUCGUGCAACCCAUUCUUGAUGAGAAUAUAGGCUUUAGUUUUCUUUUAAAAUCACAUGAAUCUUUGGUUUUAGAUUUCUUAUCAUGUGAAGGUAAAAAACUGUAUAGAACUUGUGUUUUGGUCUUUAUCAAGAAGUCUUUGGUUAGCAGAAUCGAUACACCAUGGCAUUCAGUUUUCAGUUUGAAAAAUGAUGUAAAACCCGAAUGGAGAUCUUUGUAUAAGCCACCAUUGUCAAAGAGGGUAGGUGAUAUACAAUGGAGGGUUUUGCAUGGUGCCAUUGCUGUUAAUUCUUUUAUCUCAGUGAUGAACCCAGAAGUUGAUCCUGGAUUCCCUUUUUGUCUUCAAAGAGAGACUAUUUUUCACAUGUUCAUGCACUGUUUUAGAUUACAGCCUUUAUUUGUGAAGCUUAAGGAAUUGUUUGGUAGGUUCAAUUAAAAUUUUUCAACUGAGACUUUUAUUAUGGGUUCUAAAUAUUUCCAGAAAAAACGUUUUGUUUGUAAAUUGUUGAAUUUCAUUUUAGGACAAGCAAAGCUGGCUGUGUAUAUUAGGUGGAAAAAUAACAUUCAGCAAAGGUCUAGCAAUGAUGUUUAUGUGUGUUUUCUGGCUUUGGUCAAAUCGAGGGUAUUGAUCGACUUUAAUUUUUAUAGAGCCAUGGAAGAUCUUUUAACUUUUGAACAAAUUUGGUGUAGUCAUGGUGCUUUGUGCACAAUAUCCGAAAAUGAGUUCGUGUUUUUCUUAUAAUCCCAUAGUGUUAUCUUUUCUUUAAUGUGCUUGCUGUAUGUUUUAAGUCAUUUGUGCAGUGUGUUUUGAGCAUUUGUAAAUAAAGCUUUUUUCAAAAUCAAAAAAUCUCUCAAAAUCAAAUAAAAAAUAAACUAACAAUUAAACAUUUAAACUUUGUGUGCUUUAAUCGCUUUCACAGUUCUGUCAAAUUAAUGGAAGAUAUAGUAAAAAUUUGCACAAUCAGUCGCAGUAAAUGGAGAAAGUCAUCUGCUCAGCCUUAAUUAUGUCAUUCUUAAACAUUUUGAGUAAAUGUUGUAUUAAAUUAAAGUAGAGAACCUAUUGAUCCAUAUUAUACCACUAUAUUCACAAAUCAAAUUAGAAACCAUAAGUAAAAUUUUGAUUUGUUGUUGUGAUGUGUUAGGUUGCUAGCUGCAAAGUGGCUACUUUGCUCACUUGCUAAUGUUGAUGUGGUUUAAGGCUAUAUUUCUGCUCUUCCUCUGAAACAGGAAGAAGCAGAGACACUGCAAGAAGUGACCAGAUCCUGUCAUGCACAUGCACUCUGCUGUAGACAUGAUUUACCCUCUGAUUCUCUCUGGAAUUUUACUUCACAUCACAGGUCAACUUCUGACAGCCGAUGAAAAUGGUUGAAUAUGUAAAAUAUAUUUUUAUAUCUCAAAAUCAACUUAUUGUAUAACUGAUACAACUAGUUUCUCAAAAAGUGAAAUGAUCAUACAUAAUCUUCUCAAGCAAAGAGAGAAAGAGCUCUAGUGAGCAUCAGUGUCAAAAUAUGCUAAUUUGUGAUUGAUAAAACUUAAUACACUUGCCACCCAGAUCCCGUUAUUAGUGGAACAGAGAUGUAAAUAAAAGUGUGAUGUAACUUAAAGAAGUGUGGAAGUGCAUCAGUUACUAACUUUGUGUGUUAAAAUGCAGUUAUUGUGAUUGGUUUGCUCAGUAAACUUUGCUGCUGUCUGGUUGACCAAGGCUUCAACUCUAAUGAAACACACCUGAACAAGCUAAUCAAGGUCUGAAGGGUUACUAGAAAGCUACAGGCAGGUGAGAUUAAAUUAAGGUUGGAGUUGAACUCUGCAGGGCUGUGGCUCUCCAGGACCGGAGUUCACGGUUAGUUUAUUUAAUGAGUGAUAUGUUGCUUUCUUUAUAUUUUUUUUCUGUAUUGUUUGUGCAUAAAAUGCAGAUCUACUCUAAACCUGAAGAUCCACCGAUAUACAGCACUAUAAAUGAUGAAAACCCAAAUGUAAGUAGACCAGACAUGCACUGAUGUGAUGAAAUUUCAGACAUGAAUAUAUCAUGUUUAUUAUGCAAUCCCUUUUUCUACAGGAUCUCAACAAGGACAUAAUCUACUACAGUACUAUUGAUGAUGUUCCUGGGAGUGAAGCAGUGAGGCCUCCAGCAGGCGGAGCGAUAUACAGCAUAAUAUACAGCACUGUGGAUCCACACUGACUGCAACAGUGAAGAACUCAGGAACAGAACCUUCUGACCAUGAGAAACAAAAUCAGGAUCAGAGGACUGUCAUCACAACUUUUUUGUAGUUUUUUGUAUUAUCUGCUUAUAAUUUCUUCACUGUAAGUUUACUUGUACAGUUUUAUGUUGUUUGCAUUAAUACAAACAAGCAUGGGCC
ensembl:lncRNA